AAUGUGCUCAAAUUUCCCAAAAGGCUUUCAGACAGAACCUCUGGGCUUGUCCUGCCAUCAGAGUCUGCAGCCCUCCACCUAGGAUUCCUGGAUCUCUCCCCCUAGCAACGCUGUGUUCUCCCCUUUCAGUUCUCUAGGCGAGGCCUGUGCUCUUCCUUGGCCAUCCCAGCAAAGCAUCUGGUAUUAGUGGCAGCAAGGAGGAAGAGGCUGGAGUGAGGGCUGGGAAAAGUCUUUGUGUUGGCUGCCUGACUCUGUACCUCUCUCCUGUGAUGGCUUGUGAGGACCACCAACCUUAUACAGGCAUCAUCCGCCUGCCUCUGCACCUCCCUCCUGUGAUGGCUAGUGAAGACCACCAACCUGAUACAGGCAUCAUCGCCUGCCUCUGCACCUCUCUCCUGUGAUGGCUUGUGUGGACCACCAAUUUGCUGAGGAAAGGAGGGGGUCACCCUGUCCAUCAAGGUUACCAGGAAAAGCAGCUGAGACAGAAAUCCAUGAAUCACCUAUGGCUAAGAGGUAGUCGGCAAAGUCGGCAACAAGAUGUCAGGGACCCCCAGGGGGAACUUCUGCCGCUCCACAGCGAUGGGCUCUACGGCGAUGGGCUCCACGCGAUGGGCUCCACGCGAUGGGCUCCACGCGAUGGGCUCUACGGCGAUGGGCUCUACGGCGAUGGGCUCCACGCGAUGGGCUCCACAGCAAUGGGCUCCAUGGCGAUGGGCUCCACGGCGAUGGGCUCCACGGCGAUGGGCUCCACGGCGAUGGGCCUGCCCCACAUCCUUUUCCUUGGAACUCAGCUUUGUGGUUCUUCCUCCCACACCUUGUCCUAAGAAUUAUCGCCCAAUCACCCCUCCGUGUCCAUCUACCAACCCUCACCCAUCUUCCAUCCUUCAUGUACCACAAUUAUCUGUCCAGCAUCCACUCUUCGCCUCCAUCUUAACUGAGGAGUUGUUACAGGCUGCUUCCCGUGCCUGAAGCAGGAGUGUGGCCGGAGAAACACUGUCCUGCCUUAAAGUGCACACCAUCUAGUUACCAAGUGAAGGCAAACAUCCAAGGAAAGAAAACGAAGAACUCCAUUUGUGAUUGGAUACCAUAGAGCUGUGUAGAGAGUUUACUGUAUGGGAACUCCCAGGGCAGGGAGGUAAGAGGUCGGGAGGGCUGCUUAGAGGCAGGCACUUGGGGGCUGUCUAGGAAAUGGGAGGAGACUUGGGGUCGGAUGGUGCAUGACUGCAGCGGCAGGGGAGAGGCAGGAAGGGAGGUGGACAGCAUGCCAGGGUUUCAACUCAGCCUGGUUUCUCUGUUUAGGUGACAGAGUAGGAGGUGGAGGAUGCCUUGCCUCUCUCUCCCUGGCCAAGGCUACAGAUGUCUGGUCUGUGUGGUGCAUGAGACAGACAUACAGUCCCACCGCCAUGGACGGGCCUGUCAAGGAUCUCUGGUUGUUGGCACUACUGGCACUACCCAGUGACCAUGAGCUAUGCGGGACACUAAGGAUUCCCACAUGUGACUACCUCAGAAAAUGAGACAAGAGCUAGGCACGGUGGCACGCACCCCUAAUCAGAGCUCCUAAGAAGCUUAGACAAGAGAAUCCCUGCAAGUUGAAGGCUAGCCCAGGUUACAGAAUCAAUCUCAUACAUGCAUGCACACACACACACACACACACACAUGCACGCACACAUGGUACAGAGGGUGCUUACUCUAGUUCAAUUCACAAUGUCAAAACAGAAAAAGGAAGCCUGGAGAAUUUUAAGAAUUUUAACUUCAUCUGGGACUCUAACUGAAAGGAGGACCAGAGAGACUUCUUUACUGCGCCCAGCUCUUUCCUGCAGUUAAGGUGGAGAAGGUUUCUUGCAGAGACUCCUUGAGACAGAAAGCACGGAACUCAAAGAGCUUCAGGAAGUUCCUGAAACCGGCCAGACUCACUGGGUUCCUCCCCUCCCCAGUAAACAGUAAAGAGAGCCCCUCUCCAGCAAGCCAAGAAACAGAUUGGGCAAGCAGCCUGGAGCCACGUGAAGGGACGCUCCCCAACCGCUAAGCUUCCCACAGGCUGUGCAGUGUGCUCUGUGUGCCCAGCUUUGUGAGCUGUCCCCCAUGCUGGGUGGGCUUUG